UCACGUCAGAAAAUCUCAGCUGAACGACGAUAUCUCCUAUAUCGAAUGGAAAGAAAUCCAAGAGAGCUCGGUCGGUUCGUGUCUCACGAUUCGUCACCGCGAUGCCUCGCGAAUCCUUUUGGAUCCUUUGAUAUCGUCUCGAUCUAAUCGUCGCCUCAUUAACGAUCCAUGGACGUUAGUCCAGAGAGUGUGUGUAAUAUCGUCGUAGCAGUGGUUCUCUUUUACGUUUCACGAUUUUCAAAGAUCGAUAGGUAAAGUAUCGAUACGAUCGAUCUUUGAAAAUCAAUGAUAUAUAUAUAUGUAAAGAAAGUAUACUUUCUUAUAGAUAGAUUUGCCGCGCGUCUCAUAGCCCUCCCUUCCAUUGUCCUUUAUUAUUUACAAUUUCUUUUGUGACCUACAAACCGAGUCGUUAAGAUUUGGAAGAGAAUCGGGCAGUAAGAAAUAGGACGUAGACGAGAGAAGUAGCACGAGAGUGUAAUAUAAGAUUUAACCAAAGAUUAUGGAAGAAAUAUUGGACGAACGAAAGGAUAAAGAAAUAUAUGAUCAUCCUUUGACGCUUUUAAACUCUACCAUGAUGCGAUUAGGAGGGGAAGAACGCAUUGGUUAAAAAGAACGAAAGGCUCGAUAGUCAAAAAUUCGUUUUGAGACAGCGAGCUUAUCUCACCGAUCAGGGUCCGCCACGAAUUAUAAGAGAGGAACCUGCCGGCGCAGGAUCUCCGUUGGACCACACAUCGAACCUCUUGUCUGCAGGUUCAACGCACUCGCUGUAAUUACCACAAACGAACGCGAAGCUUCGUCGAGACACACAAGGUAUAUAAACUCGCGAGCAUGGACACGUCCGUGAAGUCACGUUGGCAUCGACGAAGAUUUCAAAGUGGCAACUUUAUAUCCACGAUCACGACGACAAAAGAAACGCACGCUCGUUUAAUGAGAGAACUCGAAGAGAACUUGUCUCCAGCUUGACGAUACUUCGAGCGGCAACAUCAUCGACCUCCUGGCCACCUUUACGUCCUUCGACGAGUGUGAACGCGCAGGCACCUACGAGAUGAUUCAUGCUCAUGCCUAUCCACGUGGAAAACGAGGAGAGACGGUGUAAGAGAGGAAGAGAAAGAGAGAGUGAGAGAGAGAGAGUUUCUUCGUCAGUAGCGUAGUCGAGAUACUGAGGUACGAUCGGUUGAUGGAUAGUGAGAAGAAGGGAAGAAGAGAAAGAGAGAGAGAGAGAGAGAGAGAGAGAAAAAGAAAAGGAAAAAGAGAUGGAAGGGGUAAUCGCUACGCAGCAUCCACAGAAGAGAUCCUUGGCUAACAGGAUUCAAGAAGCAACCGACAUCUGGAUUCUUAAAUACAUUAUAAAUGAUACUGCCUUCUGUUAUAACGACAGUAUUAUCGAUUAUUUUCUUUUGGGAUAAGCUCGUGGUUGACCCUACGGUAAUCGCGAAUUCUCUUGGAGAUUUGUCUCCUUUCCCAUAGAAAACUUGUUAAUUUUUUUAUAACGAUCGGAUGGGAAAAUAUCGUUCGUGUAAAUGAAAUUUUAUAUUAUAAUGUUGAUUAUCUCGGGGAAUGUAAUAAAAAAAAAGAUCGUUGUACAUAAAUAUAUCGUAUUGUUGCGAGUAAUAUGCAAGUAGAACUUAAAAAUUAUUACAAAGGAAUGAAAAGGAGGAUGUAAUAAUUUUUGAUCCUUGACUCGUUUGAUAAUACGAUUUAUGUUACUACUUAUCUAGCGUAAUACAUUGUUGAAGUUUCUUCAAGUAUAAGCAAGGUUUUCUUUGGAUAAUCGAGCUUCCAGCAUCGCGUUACCAUCAUCGCAAGGGAACCAUUUCGAAAAUUUAUCAACGUUUAACAGUUAUUUUGUAUUUCGCUUUUGUAUAAGCGGCCCCUCGAUCUCUCAGAGCCUUAUACGCUUUAUUCGUGUAGACUAACAGAUCGUUACGGCCGUUUUAUUUUACUCUUUUUCAUUCUCGCUACCCAGACGCCCAUCCCUUUUGUAUCUUUUGGAGUCAGAUGUCACGGCUUCCCAGUAGAGAUCCACGGCUACGCCACUGUCCUUAGCGACCGCACCGCGGUCGUAUGUACGUACUCUUACACCAGUUGAUCGUGUACUUUAGAAUGUCUGUGUGUGCGCGCGCGUGCGCGCAUUCACAUAGAAACAUAUCCAAGUAUGUAUAUGUAUCGUAUAAAACGUUGUAUUCACAAGCACACGUUCGUAUUCAUCGACGAUGAAAAAUUUUAAGUGCUCAUCCUUUACGAGGCUGCGCUGUAAUUAAUAAUAAUAACGAUGUAAAUCAAGGCUCUUGAUGGCAGCGAGGACAUCGCUCGACGCAAGAUAACGUGGAAUCUGGAAAUGUAUCAUAGUCACGAAAAUCUUAACGAGUCUCUCGACUACUACCACCACCACCACGAUCAUCACCAAAGCCUUACGCCACAAACGUCGCGACACCAACGACUUAUCCGACACGGGUUUAACUAGCUUUUGAAAAAGGUCCGACGGCCUUACAGUCUCCGCCUCCUUGGUUCCCUUAAGAUUAAAAAUCUUUUCAAACUUACGGUCAUUAAUUAAGACCGAGAGUUUGCACAACGUCGGAUAUAACGAGUUGUAUGUCUUGUCAAAAGUUGAACGCUUUCGUUAUUUCUACCUACGAACGUAUCACGUAUAUGUGUGCGCGUAUAUACGUACGUCUUUAUUUAUUUACAUACACCUUUCUCGCGUAUCAAGGUAACCUUUUAGAUAUUUAUUCAAUGGACGUAUUGAAAUAAGAGAACAGUAUUGAGAGAGCCUGGAAGGAUGAUUGUAGGAUAAGUCAUACUCGAAGAUAAUCUUCGAAAUUGUCGAAGAAAAAUUUAACGUUCUAUUAUUACAUAGCAUUUGUAAUAAUAGAACAUAGUUAACGUGAAUCUGUUUUAAUUUAGUUUAAAUUAAUUUCAUUAAUCAACGAAACGAUACGAUCAAUUCGUUACUCAUCGAAAAUGCAUUUUUGUCUGAAAGUUAGAAAAAUGAAAAAAAUUCAUGAUCAAUCUUUAACAAUCCUGUAAACGUUCGAACGAGAGAUGAAGCUUUUAGUUGUACCAUUAAUCGUAUUAUCAUUUGUUGCUAUGUGCGUUAUUUUUCCGCAGUAUCGGCCAUUAUGAUUUAUUGAAAUUUCUGUAUUCAUUUUUAUCAAAGGUAAAGGGCAAAAAAAUGAUCAUAUACCGCGAGGAUAUAGAAGAAAAGGAAAGACUGACGUACUAAUCGAGCGGAGGACCCUCUUUUGUGAGGGUGAAGAAAAAGAAGAAGAGGAUAAAGAAGAAGAAGAAGAAGAAGAAGAAGAAGACGAAGAAGAGAACGAAUAGAAUAAAUAAUCGUGGAGCUGUCGAUCAAUGGCCACAACCACAUCCGGACUUAUUGCCGUUUCUAUUCGCUAUUGAAAUCUCUUCUUCUUAUUGAGAAUAACAACAACAAUAACAACGACAAGAGUAAAGGUGUUCCUUAUACGACGAGAGCUCGUUUUUCUCAAUCAAGGAUGUAUUUAGUAAAAGAAAAGAAAACAACAACAACAACAAAGCAAGAACAACUUAACAAACUUGAUAAAACAAAAUCGAACUCGUUAAAAUGGAAAAGAUUAAAAAUGGGAAGUAUCGGUAAUUGUAAAAGUUUAUUGAUUAAUUUUGAUAAAUGUCUGUAAGGAUAAGAGAGACAUUGGAGAAUGACGUAUAUUGUGCGUCAGGACAGUCAGGGGCGGCCUCGUCUCGUCAAGGGCCCACCGUGCUGCCCGAUCGAGGAGGUAACGACCCGCAGGGUCAAACUCGAUCGGCGGAGAAGGGACGAGGAGGAGGGGUGGGAGAAGAAGCUGUGCAAACUGAGAAAAGGUCCACGCGAACAUACAUACGUAUCGACGUUGAAAAAAGUUGCGAGGGAAACGCGUUGUACGAUCCUCGAUAGUAAGAGACUGCGAACGAGAGUUGAUGGUAGUGGUCGAUGGAGAAGGUGAUGGAGAAGGACCAAGGAGCUUGGUAAAGAAGAGAGGGAAAGAAAGAGAUCUUGCUUCGAGAUGCGAUCGUCGCUCGCGAACGAUCGUCGUCUCCUUCUCGCUGCCUCUGGAUCGUUUCUGCAGAUGGUCGACGUUCCUCGAACUUUUUUACAUUCUUUCCAAUAACCAGAGGACAAUAACAACAGGACGUGGCAAUGCUUGACUUACAAUGAUCGAAAAAGUCGUAUCUGGAGUUCCAUUGAGGGAUCGAUUCGACACAAUUCGAUUCGUGCUCGAAAAAUAGGAAAUAGAAGUUAGAACGGCGGCCAAAGGGAAUACGAGACUUCGAUAAUUCGUCAAAUAAAAUCCGCGAUUCCUCGGAGACAUUGCAACAGGGAGAGAACGAAGGAGACAGUAUAUCCAACUUCUGUGAACCAUAAAGGGUUUCCGUGUCCUCCCGAGGUUAGUCCAGUUAAAAUGACCGGUUGGUAGAGCGUUGAUAUAUCGUCGAGGAAGCUGACAUAACACACAGCCCUUUUAAAAGGGAACGGCCUUCUGUUUUUGAGAACGUGUCCCACACAGAGAUCGGCAUCUACUUCUCCGGUUUAUCCGAAGCGUGUUGGUUCUCGUCUUACGUUUAGCGCCGGGGGAGUAGAAAGUCUCGUGCUAAGAGUAGUCCUACGAAAGGAAGAAGUAGAUGAUGAUGAUGAUGAAGAAGAAAAAGAAGAAGAAGAAGAGGAAGAAGAAGAAAAGAAAGAAAAAGCAAAAGAAGUACGAAAAGGGGUUUCGGAAAUAAGAAGAAGAAAAAGA